UACGAGGGGGGCAAGCGUUGUUCGGAAUUAUUGGGCGUAAAGGGCGCGUAGGCGGUGCGGUAAGUCACCUGUGAAAUCUCUGGGCUCAACUCAGAGUCUGCAGGCGAAACUGCCGUGCUGGAGUAUGGGAGAGGUGCGUGGAAUUCCCAGUGUAGCGGUGAAAUGCGUAGAUAUUGGGAGGAACACCAGUGGCGAAGGCGGCUACCUGGACCGGUACUGACGCUGAUGCGCGAAAGCGUGGGUAGCAAACAGG
rnacentral:rRNA from 1 species